UACGGGGGGGGCAAGCGUUGUUCGGAAUCACUGGGCGUAAAGCGCACGUAGGCGGCUUUUUAAGUCAGGGGUGAAAUCCUGGAGCUCAACUCCAGAACUGCCUUUGAUACUGGGAAGCUUGAGUCCGGGAGAGGUGAGUGGAACUCCGAGUGUAGAGGUGAAAUUCGUAGAUAUUCGGAAGAACACCAGUGGCGAAGGCGGCUCACUGGCCCGGUACUGACGCUGAGGUGCGAAAGCGUGGGGAGCAAACGGG
rnacentral:rRNA from 1 species